UACGUAGGGUGCGAGGGUUAAUCGGAAUUACUGGGCGUAAAGCGUGCGCAGGCGGUUUUUUAAGCCAGAUGUGAGAUCCCCGGGCUUAACCUGGGAACUGCAUUUGGAACUGGAAGACUAGAGUACGGCAGAGGGGGGUAGAAUUCCACGUGUAGCAGUGAAAUGCGUAGAUAUGUGGAGGAAUACCGAUGGCGAAGGCAGCCCCCUGGGUCGAUACUGACGCUCGUGCACGAAAGCGUGGGGCGCAAACAGG
rnacentral:rRNA from 1 species